UACGUAGGGUGCGAGCGUUACUCGGAAUUACUGGGCGUAAAGCGUGCGCAGGCGGUUUUGUAAGCCAGAUGUGAAAGCCCCGGGCUUAACCUGGGAAUGGCAUUUGGGACUGCAAGGCUUGAGUGCGGCAGAGGAGACUGGAAUUCCCGGUGUAGCAGUGAAAUGCGUAGAUAUCGGGAGGAAUACCGAUGGCGAAGGCAGGUCUCUGGGCUGACACUGACGCUGAUGCACGAAGGCCAGGGGAGCAAACGGG
rnacentral:rRNA from 1 species